UACAGAGGUCUCGAGCGUUAGGCGGAAUCACUGGGCUUAAAGCGUGUGUAGGUGGAUGCCUAAGUACCUUGUGAAAUCCCACGGCUUAACCGUGGAACUGCUUGGUAUACUGGGUGUCUUGAGUCACUCAGGGGCGAGCGGAACAAAUGGUGGAGUGGUGAAAUGCGUAGAUAUCAUUUGGAACGCCAAUGGUGAAAACAGCUCGCUGGGGGUGCACUGACACUGAGACACGAAAGCCAGGGGAGCGAACGGG
rnacentral:rRNA from 1 species